rnacentral:rRNA from 1 species
GACCACAGCCAUACCACCCUGAAUGUGCCCAAUCUCUUCUGAUCUCAGAAGCUAAGCAGGGUUGGGCCUGGUUAAUACGUGGACA